GUAUCCAUAGCUCGGUUGGCAGAGAAUCGAUAAUAUCGAAAAUCACAGGUUCAAAUCCUGUUGGAUACU
rnacentral:tRNA from 1 species